rnacentral:rRNA from 1 species
CCAAACAACCAAAUCCCCCUAAAUUCACCUGAUCUCAUUGGAUCUCAGAAGCCAAGGAACAUCAAUCCUGGUUUGUACUCAUUUUGUAGACCACCAGGGCUUGCCAGGUGUUGUAGGU